UUUUUUUGGUUUUUGGACAUCAGGAUUUCCGGUUUCACAAAGAUUUGAAUCAGCAAUUCCAAUUCUGUGGAAAUAUUUCUUAGUGUAAGUAUGACCAGUAAGCAAUCGAUUAACAAUUUUUAUGUUUUCAGGUUUCAUGUUGGAUGAUAAGAACCAGGGCUGUUUAGCAGGCGCCGGGAAGUAUUGGUAGAAGAGUACUUCAAUAUGUUUCGACGCAUCUGUGACCGACAGACAAAAGUUUAUUGGUGAACCAGCAUUAGCAGCAU